GAAGUGAACUGGAUGACCGCUGGCACACCUAUAAUGUGUGCGAGAGGAAAGUCCGGGCUCCACAGGACAGGGUGGUCGGUAACGCCGACCGGUUGCGAAGUCAGGGAAAGUGCCACAGAAAAUAGAC
rnacentral:RNase_P_RNA from 1 species